rnacentral:rRNA from 1 species
GACAGAGGAGCCAAGCGUUGUCCGGACUGACUGGGCGUAAAGCGCGCGUAGGCGGCCACUUAAGUCGGAUGUGAAAGCCCCUGGCUCAACUGGGGAAGUGCACCCGAAACUGAAUGGCUUGAGUGCGAAAGAGGGUCGCGGAAUUCCCGGUGUAGAGGUGAAAUUCGUAGAUAUCGGGAGGAACACCGGUGGCGAAGGCGGCGACCUGGGUCGACACUGACGCUGAGGCGCGAAAGCGUGGGGAGCAAACAGG